GUCUACGGCCACGCCACCCUGAACAAGCCUGAUCUUGUCGGAUCUCGAAAGCUAAGCAGGGUCGGGCCUGGUGAGUACUUGAACAGGAGACCGCCUAGGAAGACCGGGUGCUGUAUGAG
rnacentral:rRNA from 1 species